GUUCAGGUCCUAUGCAAAGUCCGCUUUCAAACCCUGUCAGGUCCGGAAGGAAGCAGCAGUAGAUAGUUGGUACUUGUGCCGUAGUGCACCUGAACUCU
rnacentral:SRP_RNA from 1 species